rnacentral:rRNA from 1 species
UCGCUCUACACCCUUUGUGACAUACCUACAACUGUUGCUUCGGCGGGUAGGGUCUCCGCGACCCUCCCGGCCUCCCGCCUCCGGGCGGGUCGGCGCCCGCCGGAGGAUAACCAAACUCUGAUUUAACGACGUUUCUUCUGAGUGGUACAAGCAAAUAAUCAAAACUUUUAACAACGGAUCUCUUGGUUCUGGCAUCGAUGAAGAACGCAGCGAAAUGCGAUAAGUAAUGUGAAUUGCAGAAUUCAGUGAAUCAUCGAAUCUUUGAACGCACAUUGCGCCCGCCAGCAUUCUGGCGGGCAUGCCUGUUCGAGCGUCAUUUCAACCCUCAAGCUCUGCUUGGUGUUGGGGCCCUACAGCCGAUGUAGGCCCUCAAAGGUAGUGGCGGACCCUCCCGGAGCCUCCUUUGCGUAGUAACUUUACGUCUCGACUGGGAUCCGGAGGGACUCUUGCCGUAAAACCCCCCAAUUUUCCAAAGGUUGACCUCGGAUCAGGUAGGAAUAGACUACUACGU